AAUUAUGUAGCUUAAUUUAAAGCGUUAGAUUCUUACUCUAGUUAUGUUAUUAUUAACUGUAAUUA
rnacentral:tRNA from 1 species